rnacentral:rRNA from 1 species
UACGUAGGGUACAAGCGUUGUCCGGAAUUAUUGGGCGUAAAGAGCUCGUAGGCGGUUUGUCGCGUCUGCUGUGAAAACCCGAGGCUCAACCUCGGGCCUGCAGUGGGUACGGGCAGACUAGAGUGCGGUAGGGGAGAUUGGAAUUCCUGGUGUAGCGGUGGAAUGCGCAGAUAUCAGGAGGAACACCGAUGGCGAAGGCAGAUCUCUGGGCCGUAACUGACGCUGAGGAGCGAAAGCAUGGGGAGCGAACAGG